ACCGAAUAGUCGCGUAUAGCAUGGCCGAAAGGCAGCGUACGAGGAAAGUCCGGGCUCCAUAGAGCAAUGAUGCUGGAUAACGUCCAGUGAGGGCAACCUUAAGGAAAGUGCAACAGAAAAUAACCGCCCUAUAAAGGUUAGAUGAUGAAGGUUAAUACAUGGUUAAUAAUCUUUAGCAUCUAGCUUUUAUAGGGUAAGGGUGAAAAGGUGAGGUAAGAGCUUACCGCUGGCAUGGUGACAUGCUGGGUCCAUGUAAACCCCAUCAGGAGCAACACCGAGCUUAGAAGGUUAAUGGCUGCUCGCCAGUCUUCUUACAUUGGUGGCAUGAUGCAUAUAGCAAUAUAUGUACUAGAUAGAUGACUAUUCAAGACAGAACCCGGCUUAUAGAUUUACUCAU
rnacentral:RNase_P_RNA from 1 species